CCUACGGGAGGCAGCAGUGGGGAAUAUUGCACAAUGGGGGAAACCCUGAUGCAGCGACGCCGCGUGAGUGAAGAAGUAUUUCGGUAUGUAAAGCUCUAUCAGCAGGGAAGAAAAUGACGGUACCUGAGUAAGAAGCCCCGGCUAACUACGUGCCAGCAGCCGCGGUAAUACGGAGGGGGCAAGCGUUAUCCGGAUUUACUGGGCGUAAAGGGAGCGUAGACGGCAGCGCAAGUCUGAAGUGAAAUGCCGGGGCUUAACCCCGGAACUGCUUUUGAAACUGUGCAGCUAGAGUGCAGGAGAGGUAAGUGGACUUCCUAGUGUAGCGGUGACAUGCGUACAUAUUAGGAGGAACACCAGUCGCGACGGCGGCUUACUGGACUGUAACUGACGUUGAGGCUCGAACGCGUGGGGAGCAAACAGGAUUAGAUACCCGGGUAGUC
rnacentral:rRNA from 1 species